rnacentral:hammerhead_ribozyme from 1 species
AUCCAGCUGAUUAUUUCCAAAUAGGACGAAAUGCGCAUCUUGGAU